rnacentral:snRNA from 1 species
AUGUUGUUUUAGCAGUAUAUACAAUAAAAUUGGAAUGUUUCAGAAACUGGCAUGGCUCAAGGAUGACAUGUGACUUUGUGAAACAUCCAUAUUUUUA